CCGAUUCAAGUCUUUGAGUGAUGAAACGAGGAGGAAAAUGGUGAACAUCCUGGCAGCUGACAUGACAGAAAAGAAUGGUACAUCACCACCAAGGCAGGUUAAAGAAAAAUAUGCCAGAGGAAUUGUGUCUUUGUUCCCUUACCUCAGUGACCCCAUGUCCAAAAAAGGCUACGAGCAUUACUAUGAUGGUGAGAGUG